UACGAAGGGGGCUAGCGUUGCUCGGAAUCACUGGGCGUAAAGCGCACGUAGGCGGAUUGCUAAGUCAGGGGUGAAAUCCUGGAGCUCAACUCCAGAACUGCCUUUGAUACUGGCGAUCUUGAGUCCGGGAGAGGUGAGUGGAACUGCGAGUGUAGAGGUGAAAUUCGUAGAUAUUCGCAAGAACACCAGUGGCGAAGGCGGCUCACUGGCCCGGUACUGACGCUGAGGUGCGAAUGCGUGGGGAGCAAACAGG
rnacentral:rRNA from 1 species